rnacentral:lncRNA from 1 species
CAAAACUUUAUUUAACGGGUAUGUUUAUCGAUAUCAAUAACACAUUAUACGAACAUAAUUUUUUUUUAGUAUUAAAUCAACAAAUUUCUUCUUUGACAGGACACACUGAAGUAUAAAUGGAAGAAAAAUUUAUUUGAACACAUAACUGUGCUAUUAUGCCGCCAUAAUUCGAUUAAAAAGUAGGAUGUUCUUUGAGAGAAUACAUUUAAAUGAUCAUGUUAUUAACAAAAAAUUAACCAAUGUAAAUGUAUACGUAAAUGUUAAAUGAUAACGUUAGUAUUGUAACUGUGUUCUGGUCUCGAACAUGAUGCGUUCCAGCUAAUCGUUUUCUCUGAACGCCAUGUGUUCCAAACAUGACGCAACCAUUGUGUAUAGAAAGCAACAAGAAGAUUUUGAACGAUUAUCUUCACUUUUGAGGAUGUAAAUUUGUUAAUAAAAUAAAACCAAUGCAAUUAUAAGGAUUUGUCCAAAAAUACAAAAAAAUGUCAUGGCAUUGCACUGUCAAGAUAGAAGUUUGUAAAAAGGCAUACUGGAACACAAAUUAAAUUUCUCAUUUAUAUGUUAUUAAUAGCUUUCUCAUUCUUAAAUACUUAAUUCUUAGUAAUUCAUUUUAGCAAAUGUCCACCGUUGUGCACUUGUUCAUGUAUUGUAAUGCAUUCCUAUGUUACUUUUAUAGGGUACAAACACAGUAUUUAGGGGUAAUUGUUCGUGCAUACCUCGAGAAUGAAGAGAAAAUUUCGCAGUUCAAGAGAUGACUACUUAUCCUGCACCAUAAAAGUACUAUAUGUAAGUUUAAGAAUUUUUAAUAGGAGUGCCCAUUGACUUCUGACAAGUUUUGUUAUUGCAGAUUUAUCAAUAAAAUGUGCACCAUUCACUUGUUUACAUUAAUCAUAAAACUAUUUGAGCUAAAUUCGAUAUAAUUAAAUCAAUUUAAAGUGGAAUUAUCCGUAUACAGAUCAUAAGUAAAAUUACUACAUAUCUUCAUAUGUCUUUGCUGGACACUUUCUAUCAUCUUUUUUAAAAAGCUAUAGAACACUUACUUGAAAAUACAUGUUUACCACUUUUUAAUACAUGCAUCUUAUCUAAUAGUGCUGACAAGUAUAAUGGAAUUACAAAAACAAAUAAAAGUUUAUAAUUCUUAAGCAAUAUCGACAUGAUGAUUAAUAAUUUGUUUACUCAUACACUUUAUAUUUUACAUUCUAGAACUUACGGUUGAUGGAUAAUAAAGUUAAAGAGUAGUUAUAACCCAAGGAGACGAAUCCUCUAAAAAAUGGAAGCUCAAAAUCAGUUUUAGACGACUCAAAUCAUGUUUAAAAGUACCCAAGGUAGCAGUGUUACAUGAACGUUGAUUCGACCACUAGCAGCAUAUACACAGGGUAUUUUAUGUUUGAUAUUGACUAUCUGAGUGCUAUGCAGGCUGAGGAUUAUUGAAAUUAUUGGUGAUAAACGGGCCAUUGACAUCAGUAUUUUGAAAAGAAAUUCAGGACAGUGCUUGACUUAAGAAGUUGCAAACGAUGAGUUAAACUGUGUUCAUAACAUAAGCCACUAGACAUUGUGUCACAUAACAAUUUUAAAUAUGAUGAACAUUUUGUUUAUGAUUUAAUAUUUGGACACAUUUUGCAAAUUACAGAUGUUAUAUUAUUUAAC